GAUAUUUCCCUGUGACCUCUAUGGCUCUAACUCAAUUAGAUUUUGUCAGAAGCGGCUGCAGUCCAGCAGGAGCUUGGGGUCAACAAGCUGGGUCUUGGGAGCGGUCCAGAGAGGAUUGAGAAAUGUGGAAAUAGGAGGCUAUUCAUGUAAGAAAACAAUAUACAUGGAAGGUCUAAUUGGAGGCAGUUACAAAAUUGCAACCACAAUUGCAAGAGGAAAUUAAGAAGGUAAGAUGAAGAGAGGGUCAGUUUUAACACUCUUCAUAGUAUUCUGCAUAGAGGUAAUUUUGUUUCAUGUGAACUGCUGGAAUUCAACCGAUGGACUAUUAGCAAACUUGUGAAUCUGGCUGGCCUCCAACAAACUUUUACUUCUACAUCCUGCAUAAUGGACUGGAUCUCAAAAAAUGGAGGUGUGUGCCUUCUUCCUGCAGGUAUUUCUUUAUCUCUACAUAGAUUUUAUGUGCAGUAGUUUUUAUACAAAUGUUCAGAGGCGACAAAAAUAUAGAGGGCUAUCCAUCUUUAGGAGAAAAUAACAUCUUUUUGAGGCAUAGAUGGAUUGAUUCUGUAUGCAUGUAUAUUUUACCAGGAUGUUCUUAUUCAUUGCAUCUCCAUCUCUUAAUUGAUGUGUUGACUAACGACCUGCCGGCCCGCGAUACAAAGUUUGUCAUUAAUGAUUGUGAGAAUAUUGGGUAAUUUUAAUAUAGUGGUUCAUGUAAAGAUCGGCUAUGUGUUGAAGUCAACUCUUCAUUUUGGUGUAUCCUUUCUUUUAGACAGAGAAUAAUAAUGCCGAAUAAGAUUCAGAUUAAUGUGCAAGUAGUAGCAGGUUGAGACCAUAAAACAGGUGGAUGGAAUGGAUUUUUCGGUCGGACGAGGUGUCUCAAAUGCCUCCAUGUAGGACUGAAAUAUGUGGCUAAUAACAUAUGGGAAGGACCACCUGUAGAUUUGAGAGUGGAAGUUCAGGUGUGUCCUGACUCACAAGCGAAUUAAUUAACAAAUAGUAAUUUCUAGCAUAUGCCUCAAGCCAACGGAAAAUUUGGUUUUAUGUUUGCACUGUUUCUUCAUUAUUAGAAAAAAAAUAUACUUAUUUGAUUCUGCACCGCAUGCUUACAUGAAAUGCUUCCAUGGGAGCUUGACUAAUAGCUAGCUGAGCUUUUAUGAACUCUACGGAUGGACAAUCAUGAGGAGAUGGACUUGAGCGGAUUUCCCUUGUUGGACAACAAGAGGAUGUCAAAUGUGUCAACCCUGUAGCACAUAAUUCAUUUUUGGUGUCCCAUUUUACCUUAGGUGUGCAAUUUGAUCUGCUCAGUUUCCUGCAGAAAAUACCUUUGAUAUACGGAUGAUUUAUGAGUGCCCAUCCAAGACACUGAGGUUCAAAUAGAUUUAGAUGGCCACAACGUUAAAUAGGUUCAGAAAGUGUGACACAAAUCAGAAUGCUGAAGUUCCAAAGAAAAGAUGCUUUCAGUAUGAAAGCCCCCUGGUCUCCUGAAGAUUCUGAUCAUGUUCAUUUUAGCAUCCUUGGUGUGUCACUGGUCUAUUAUAUAUUUUUAUAGACAAUAUGCACUAUCAUUUACCUGUGUUGAACAUGUAUUAGAGGUAUAAUUUCUUUCAAAGAUCAGUCAUGAAGGUAUGUUACUACUUCUGUUACAUACUUUUACUGAAAAUAUGCAUUGUCAUUUAGCAGUGUUGAACAUGUAUUAGAGCAGAGUAGAGGUUAAUUUCAGCGAAGUUUAAUGGUAGAUAUUUAUGUUUGUUAACAAAAAACUUGCAUCCCACAUUUUAGGUGUAUUUUCUUAAUAUGAUUAAAAGAGAAGGGCACGUACUACCAUCAAAUUAGUUUUCUUCAGAUCGACCAAAUUGGAUGGAUAUAUAAUGUGUGAAAUUUGGCUAUUUAGUGGUGGAUAGUUUAUAUCACCAUAGUCUGAUUCUCUUUUCAUAACUUGUCAAGCUGAAAACUAUUUUUUCUUUCAGACAAGCGUUAACUUAUGAGGUGAGCUACCUUCUAACAAGCAUAGCAUGUCCUUUCUAUCUGUCAUUUUGGGGAUGGUAGUUUUUUUUAAUGGUCAGUCUUUAAAUGUCAUAAUUUGCGCACAAAUCACUGGAGUAUCAUGCACCUCAAAUCCUCACCAACCUAGAUUUCUAUCACUCUAUACUGAAUUAAUUUCGGUAUGAGCCACCCACAAGGAAAAUGGUAGGCUCUAUGUGGCUGUGAAGCCAUCCAUUCUUUCGAAGUGCCUGGUAAUUGUAGUCAACAUUAGGUGCUUUCCUCCUGUGAGGCAACACAACUGAUAUUAUCAUUCUUGUUGUUGUGUCCGAAUUAAACUUUGAUAUCAUUGCAAGCUGUCCUAAUAUCCUCAUAGUUGCACAUGGCUUGCCAAUUUGUUCAGUGUGUUGGAUGAUUUAAUUUAAGACUAAUUAUCUUCAGUGACAACCGGUAGUACCUAGCCCUAUGAUGCAAAGAAUGUUGUACGAAACCUUACCUCCAUGACAAUGCAUAAAAUAGCCCUAAUAAGUGUCGGUGCCUAAAUACGGCGCAGAGCCAAGGGCCUUACAUGAUAUUAAUUGGAUUCCACGUCACCUCUUCACUGCAAUGGUGCUAACUCUAGCAAUGUUCUUGGCCACACCGGCUUGAAGAUAUCUCCAGCUCUGUCAGAUUUCUUUUCGCGGGGAGAGAGCUCUACUGGUUGAGUAUUGGCAAUACACUGAACUGGUGAUGGCAACCACCAAAGCUGUGCAGUUUCAGACAUUAUCACUAAGAGACUGCUAAGAAACACUACAUAAAUUGGCUUCCAUCUCCAUGAAUAUAUUCACAUAUCCGUUGAAAAUAACAUUAUGUACCAACUCUACAAACUACUCUACAUGUCAAAUCAUGAAGUCGGAAUAGUUUCUGUAGAUUGCAAUGUUUUGUGUGUCAUAUAUUGUGAACUUGGAUUCCUCUUUUCUGCAAACUAUCAAUCUAUCUUAUAGUAAUAUAUAAGCCCUAUUUAUAUUCACCAAUAAAACAGUAUGAUGUUGGAUAUACCACUCCUGAGAAUUUAGGGCAUAAUCACCCGUGGAGCAACUGGAGUACUCAACACUGUAGUAGUACAAUCGGUUGUCUUUCUCUAGCCAAUAACACGGCAAGAGGUGGACGACCUACACCCACCAAUUACUUCUAUAAAUGUUCAAAGACUACCCUCUCAACCAGGGGGUCUGAAGGGGCAAACGAAUCUGGGUCGUUCAAUCAGGUUGCAACAGUAAAUCUCAAGUCCCACUUUUCAUCACAGCCGUUCGAUCGUUGAAUAUUUUUCUUACUUAUUCAGUUUCCGACUAAGUCAGUGACACAUGGGGCCAGCUACGUGCGGGGGCCGACUGCUGGAGACUGCGACGCUGCUCGUUUCGUGUCACCUUUUUUCGCGUCCACGGUGAAACCCUAGAUCGAGAAAAGCAAGCAGCCAAUCCCCCCGUCCUAGAGCCCAGCACCGUCUCCUCUCACCUGCGGUGAAAACCAGAUCGAGUCGUGGUGCACCCUGGCAGCGGCCGCGCGGCUCAUGGAUGGCGGGAUUUGGAGGCGACGCCGUGGAGGUUGCAGGCCGGCCAUGCUCCAACCCCACGUGAGACCGGAGAUGACACUCCCAAGCAGAGGAGGCCACUGGGGCGCCGCCAAUCCCUGGAUGGAGCCGACAGGGACUACCGCGUUCGUGGGUCGGAGGAGGUGCGGCAGGGGCGCGCACGGAGGUGGGCGGCGGCGACGCCCACUACUCUCCUCGUUCCCGUCCUCUCCUCUUCCUCCGCCCUCGACGUCUCCUUCCGGCGAAGCGACGGCAGGGAGCACACGAGCGGUGGCGGCUGGAUGCUCGUCUCCUCCCAGGCACCCACGACCUCGCAGGACGAGAUGGCUUGGCCAGAGCCGGCCGGCCGUGCUCUUCCUGGUUGGAAGAGGAUGCGGGUGAGGAGGACCCGAAGGGGUCGGAAGGGCGCCGACGGCCAACAUCCGGAGUGACGCCGGCGUGCCUCCUCCCUUCGCUGCUGUGCUCCCACCGCCGCUACUACCACGGUCGUGGAGGCAGUGGGGCACUCGUCACUGGACCCUUGCCGCUCGUUCUUGCGGUCACCUCCGCCUGGCCCCUCUUUGUGGGCUUGCUGCUUGGAGCUCGGUUCUCGCUUCCCCGUCACAUCUGGUCGCGCGCCCAACUCCAUCUCCGGCGUCUCGCGAUGGAGCGAGCUGGAGGCCUCCAGUGUUGGGAGGCAGAGCAGCAGUGUUGCUAGAAUGGGAUGCCGAGUUCAUCAGCCUUUUAUCACAGUUAAUCAAUUUGGAUCUGUUACUGGGAGCAUGCAUUGAGUCCGUGAGAAUCUCAAAACAUGCUUCCUAGAGUGGGGUGUUUAGGGUUUCAGAGAAGGGUGGCGGCGCGCCAGUAGAGUCGCCGGGGCGCUGCGUCGCCUCAGGAAGUUUGUCCUCCGCCACCUGCCGGGGCCAUCGACCCCUCCCUGUUCUGGUCAUCUUCACCGGUGGAACGGCGGGAUAUUGCUUGGCUCAAGCGGUGAUGGUCACAAGCCUACCGCCACUCCUCCCCGUUCUCUACUCCAUUUGUCAACUGUACAACAGGCACACUCCCAGGAUAAAGUGACAUUCCUAUGGGGAUAUCAAGUGGGUCAGCAGCUAACUAUUUGGUAGCUCAAGUGAAUGGGAUACUCUUGGAUGUGUAGAGGCCACUGAAAGGUGUGGGUGUGAUUUAAGUUCCUUAUGUAUGAUAGCGAUGAGGGGUGUGAUACUUUCAGGCAUUCGAUUGCUCUUACUGUUGGAUAGUCUGUCGGGAGGAUGUACAGCUGAGGUUGUGCAGUCUGUUCGUCCUUGAACUGCAAGGGAGAAGGUAUGGAAUUAGUCUAAAGUUGGGGUGCAUGAAAAUAAGCCAGCCCUAUUUUUGUGGUCAAUGCUCAUAUUCUAAUGCUUCCACUUUCCCUUUUAACAUUUUUUACUAUGACAUCCAGUAUAAUGACUUGACACUGAAUGGCACAUGUUUGCCGGGCAUCUCUCUGCAUGUUUAUCGACACACAGACAGUUUUAUUGGGCGAGAUUCUGCCGACGAUGUAGCAAAUUUCUAGCACACGGAUUUAUGAGUGGUGCAAAUUUGUACGUGGUGCUUGUGUACUGAUGUCAAUUGCUUAGCGUUCCAGCCACUGUGGACAUUAAUUUAUGAUGCAAGCUUGCUUUUGUUUCUUUUUAUAUGAUGCAAGCUUCUAUUUUUUGCUUUCUGAUUCGUUUCUCUUUAUAUGAUGCAAGCAUGGUUUCUCCGAGUCGCCAUAGCAUGGUAGAUCAAUUCAUUCCAGCCACUGUGGACAUUAAUAUGAUGCACAUCUUUUUGGUGUCAUCUUGCCAUGGGGAGCGCCCCGCACCGCCAUGUGCUAGCCAGCAAGAGAGGAAUAUGGCAUCAGAAUGCCCUGGAUUGCUGCACUAGGCACCAACGGCGAGUCGAAGAACAGCAAGGAGCGGCUGCUGUAGCUUUGGACCGCACGGGCGCUGGCGACAACAGGUUUGCCCCCUUUAAACCUCGGUCUUCGCAUCCAUUGGAUUCUCUUUUCAUGACUAUAGUACGUUGUAUGGAUAGAAGAAGGUGCAAAACAGGGGCAACUGUUCUGAAAUAGCCGCAUUUUCCAAUUCAUUUGGGAAGUCUUAACUUUUUAGUUUGUUUAAUUGAUCGUACAUCUAUUAAUGCUUGUUGGUUGCUCUGUUUUUUCUGUGGAUAGAAGAGGGCCAGCACAUCUUUGAGAGAAGCAGGCGAGGCGCCAUUGAGAACAGUACUUCAGAUCAUAGGCUUGUAGUACCUUCAGUUGACCUUUGUGACUUAAUUGGAUGAUUUAGAACUGUACUCUAAACCAUAAGUCUUUGACUUUAAGAUGCUCACUGUAAAGAGAAUCUCUCUCUGUGAAGUAGUUGCCUAUUUGACUGGCCUACCAGUUCUGCGAUAUUCGUUGGACAUUAGGAAGGAGCAUGUUAAUUUGGUUGAUGCACAAUUACAGAAGUUGGUAUACAGUGGCCGGCUUAGCUGAUCAAGAGGAAUUGGACAGAUUUGCAAAGCUGCAUUGACAAGGCAUUUGACUGCAUUUAUAUACUCUACUUUCAAUUUUAUUUCAUGGGUGUCGGGCAUUGGCAGCUUGCUAGCUGCUGGGUGACAUGGCCGCGGCAGCAGUUCAGUGUUCCUCUCAUAUUCAGUUAGGAUGAGAAGACUAGAUACUAUUCGGAAGUGGAUGUAGUACAUUCAGCCAGGUCCAGCCAGAGAUACAAUCUAUAAGGGAUAUCAACACAUGGUUGCAGUGGUCCAUGUUGUGUACAGUAAUUACUUGAUGAGUAAUGUAAUUGUUGUGUAGUAGUACAAUCUGGCUAUUAGAUAUUGCCAGCAUUUUCUUGCCAUUUGGUUAUUCAAAGAAUUGAUAUUAGGGUAGUAGGACAUAAUAAGACUUUUCGAUAAUAUACAAGUUAAAUAUGUAUUUAAUAAAGGUUCAUUGAUGCAGAGGAUGGGGCUUUCCCGUUUAAAAAGAAGUUAAAUAUGUGAUUAUGCAUAAAAGGAAGUCCCCGGUCUAUUUUUGUUGUGGUAUCUCGGCUUAAUGAUUCUUUCAAGGGAAGACAAGAUGGAAAAGAAGCAUCACGAACUAACCCUGGAGAAUUGAUUGUACCUCACUAGCGUCGCCAGUCUCCUAAGCGAAGGUUGGUGUAAGAACCUUCACCUCCUUCUGUUUUAUGGGAGCCGCUGGCGCCAUGUCGGACGCGAUGACAUCUGGAUUGGCAGAAAACACACAUCGGCUGCGAGUGCGGCCGUAUUUUGGAGCUAAACCUAGAAAGUUUCUUGAUUUAUGACGAAAGUGGAGUUCGUGUGGAAAAGGUGGAGGCAAAUCGGUCGAGGUGGGUUUACACAGGGCUGGCAGUUUGGUCCAUACACACGGAUACAAGAAAUAUGCAUUGGCUAUAUUUGCGUAUACUGUACAUACAAGGUUUUCAUUAGCUAAAUUUGGUUAUAUCUGUGUAUAAUGUACAUACAAGGUUUCCAUUAGCUAGA